UGAUGUUUAUUGUUCAUACCACGAAUUUACAGAUUUUCUUGUUGUUGUGAAAUUCAAUAGCGAUUGGUUUUGCAUUUGGGCUUUUCUUCUCACAGUAAUUUAUGCGCUUUCUAAUAGUGGAGCGUGGAGCUCUUUAUGAAUAUUUGAAAAAGCUCGAGAAGUUUUAUUCCUCUAACAGAACCUAAAAAACAGCUAUAUUUUUCGCCGACAACGUCACUGGAUUGAUAGUCGCUGACACUGGCAAAUGAAAGGUCCCGAUACAUGACAGAAAAUAUAGGUAAGAAUAUCCUCCAGAAUAUCGGCAAAAUUGUUUAGUUUUACAACUUAAUAAUGUAUAAGAUUUCUCAUACAUUUUCAGAUAUUUUCAAAACCGUUUACCAGAUAAUGAGAAUCCUGCUGGCACCUGAUAAAUUAUUUGUUUUGACCUCGGUUUUGGCUUCAAAAAGGACGCGCGGGAAUUGAAAUCCAAAUAAAUAUAAAUUUAACAAACAUUUUUUCCAUUGAGCUGAUCCGAAAGAUUUACGAAUAUAAAUAUCCCACUUUGAUUAUUUUUCAAUCACCGUGUGAGUGGCCUCGGUUGUGGUGUCAGUUAUUCACCAGCGUGAAGCAUUCAUGACUCGAAAUAUUCAAGAAAAUCUUCUUGUAAUUCCUAACAGAAGAUGCAGAAUAAUAGUGCAAUUUGAUUGAUUCGACGGCAGCUGGUGAUCGAGCUCCAGCAGAAACCCCAACAGAUAUUGUAAGCUGGUUAGGUUGCAACUUAAGUUUAUGUACGCUGCCAAAGAAUUCGGAUUCACAGCCAGCAGAAACAACUACAUUAAUGGCAGUCGCCGAAAGGAUUGCGCCCUCGAAAAACUGUGUAUCGACCAAUCUGCACUUUCCGGAAAUGGAAGGGACACAGAACAGAGGCAAGUUUGACAUCAUACAACUCUCUGCAAAAUCACUUGCCGGGGUCGGCUGGAACCAGUUCGUCGUUGCUUAUCUUACUCAGAAUAUAUAAGUGAACGCUUUCAAUGCUGUACGCCUGUGAAUUCCGAGAGACGGUCAACAUGUUCAAUACGGUCCUCCAGGAGGCCAGCGAUUUAGUCAAGAAGGUGCAGAACUGAAUAGGUCAAAGAAGUCGUUCACUGAACCGUGCCAAAUUGGUACAACCGUCGUCGAGGAAUAAAAGGAAGGCAAACCGCAAACGAAUUGGCCGAAUCAGGAGGACGGUCACCUGUGGUAGAACCAAAAAAUGGUCGGCAAGUGUAUGUCCAGGAACCAAUUUAAAAAAAGGGAGACGCUAUGAACUAGCCCGAAACUAUAGUAGUUUAAGCGGAUGUGUACUCCACCUUCGGUGGAAACUACAUUGCUUCACUAAAUAAUAGCAAUUACCUAAUCGCAUUAGUGUUGUGAAUCAAACUGUUCAACCAAAUGGUGCAGCGGCAGGAAGUAGGUGGAAUUAGAGUGUAGGAACUGGAACUGUGGAUGAGGACAAGGAAAAUGAGAUGAGGUAGAAGGAUUUUGUUACAUAAUGCUGGAUAAACGCAAGUUACAUGAUAGCAAUGUUUAGCAUGGAGAACUUUAUUUCCAAGAUGAUCUAGUAUGUUCCACAGAUUAUUAAUCUUGUAAUAAAACGAUAUUUAUAUAUUUUUUCACAGUUUUUGAACAGAACUUAAGUGCAUGUUUGUAGGUUUGUCCAUAUACUACCAUUGUCAAUUUAAAAAGUAGAACGUAUAUGAGUAAAAAUAAUAUACGACAUUAUAUUUAUUUUUUGACGUUAUGUAAUUUGUUAUUGAACCCUUAUGAGUU